UGGUGGAGUGAUUUGUCUGGUUAAUUCCGAUAACGAACGAGACCUUAACCUGCUAAAUAGCCAGGCCGGCUUUGGCCGGUCGCGGGCUUCUUAGAGGGACUAUCGGCUCAAGCCGAUGGAAGUUUGAGGCAAUAACA
rnacentral:rRNA from 1 species